rnacentral:rRNA from 1 species
CACCUCCCGUCAGGCAUGGUCACCCGUUGAGGAACGCAUAUCAUUAACCGGAGGAGAAGAUCUUCCGAGGAUUCCCCUAGA